UAACACGGGGGGAGCAAGCGUUGUUCGGAAUUAUUGGGCGUAAAGAGCUCGUAGGCGGCUUCGUAAGUCAGAGGUGAAAUCUGAUGGCUCAACCAUCAACCCGCCUUUGAAACUACGGAACUUGAGUUCAGGAGAGGAAAGUGGAAUUCCUGGUGUAGCGGCGAAAUGCGUAGAUAUCAGGAGGAACACCGGUGGCGAAGGCGACUUUCUAGCCUGAAACUGACGCUGAGGAGCGAAAGCCAGGGGAGCGAACGGGAUUAGAUACCCCGGUAGUCCUGGCCGUAAACGAUGGGCACUAGGUGUGGGAGGAUCGACCCCUUCCGUGCCGCAGUUAACGCAUUAAGUGCCCCGCCUGGGGAGUACGACCGCAAGGUUG
rnacentral:rRNA from 1 species